UGUUAAAUUGAAAAGUGUAGAGAACAGAUUCCGCAAUAACGGUUUUCGGACCACGACGUGGCCGACUAGCAAGCUGGGCAAAUUAAAAUGAAUCUUGGCAAUUCCUUUCGAGGAAUUGGCGCAAAAGCCAAGUUUUUAAGCGGGAUUUGUUCGUCUUCACUAUUUUGAUAAUUUUAUGAUGACUCCACCGGAAUAAACCGUUACAGGGUUUCCGAAGUGAGCUAAAGGAACUGGAUUUGUUUGUUUAUAUUCGAUUAUUUGAAAAUACUUUCCUGAUCGAAGUAGGGAAAUAGCGAGCAAUAUCACCCGCUGCUGCUGCUGGAAUACCACGAAAGCUUGUUUCCCGUGUGAGUCCUCGGUAGGCAUACUGUUCACGGACACUAGCAGCACCAUAAUUCGCUUCUUCCACAACCGCUUCAAAAGGAUUAUACGUACAGUCCAAUUUAUUUUCAUCCGGCGAAUACAGAGGGAAACAAGAGUGAACAACAACGUCAUACUGUGCAGCAGGAAGCUGAAGUGCUGGAACGAUUUCCCAGGUGAUAUGCAAUUGCGCUAUGACGACACAAGUGAUGCCGCUUUUUCGAUAAGAUUUUGGACGAGGUUCGAGCGAUGGAGAUGGCAAGUCUUCGCUAGAAGGGAGUUAAUUUAUAUUGAAUCACACGGACUACAGAAUAAUAUUCAAAUCCGUCGCGAAAAGGUACAGGAUGGAAAAAAGCAGCGCAAAUUGGAUUGAGUGGAGUGAAAACCUUUAUCAUUCUUGUACGAUAGCGUUAGAAAAGCCGAGAUGGACGAGGCGAUAUAAUCGAAGACGUUUUGGUCCUUAUAUCUUUAGGAUUGAAGUGAACGUAAAGUGACUGUUAUGGUGCAUUAGUUUAAUUUAUCUGCGGUUUUGAAUUUAUGGUUAUUACAAAGUAAAUAGUGACCAGUGCUAUAGGCAGGUGCCUUGCUAAAAUAGAUGAUAGUAAUGUCGUCAUCACAAAAUGAAUAGUGAAUGUAUUGAUUCUAAAGUUGGAAAGAAAAUAAAAUUAGUUUCUGCUGCGGAUAAAUAAUAUUGACAAAACUAAUGCAAUAUAUCUACACCUAUAUUGGUAAUAAAAUAGUUCCUCGCCUAUUCAGUAUUUAAGAAGACAUAAAGCAUCGAAAAAUGUUUAGUUCCUGCUCCUGGUGCAAAGGACGAAGCCCUGUCAGUUCACGUAUACCGGAUUCGGUUCAAGGGAUGAGGGAGUCUUACCUGGUUUCAACUCUAAGAGCUCAUUUACA